rnacentral:rRNA from 1 species
UGGGGAAUAUUGGACAAUGAGCGCAAGCCUGAUCCAGCCAUGCCGCGUGAGUGAUGAAGGCCUUAGGGUUGUAAAGCUCUUUUAGCGGGGAAGAUAAUGACGGUACCCGCAGAAAAAGCCCCGGCUAACUUCGUGCCAGCAGCCGCGGUAAUACGAAGGGGGCUAGCGUUGCUCGGAAUUACUGGGCGUAAAGCGCACGUAGGCGGACUCUUAAGUCGGUGGUGAAAUCCUGGAGCUCAACUCCAGAACUGCCUUCGAUACUGGGAGUCUAGAGUUCGGGAGAGGUGAGUGGAACUGCGAGUGUAGAGGUGAAAUUCGUAGAUAUUCACAAGAACACCAGUGGCGAAGGCGGCUCACUGGCCCGAUACUGACGCUGAGGUGCGAAAGCGUGGGGAGCAAACA